rnacentral:tRNA from 1 species
GACACAGCCAAUUAUGGCACGGGGAUUGAAAAUCCCCGUGUCCUUGGUUCGAUUCCGAGUCCGGGGCACCA